rnacentral:rRNA from 1 species
GAGUUUGAUCGUGGCUCAGAACGAACGCUGGCGGCAGGCUUAACACAUGCAAGUCGAGCGCCCAGCAAUGGGAGCGGCGCACGGGUGAGUAACACGUGGGAACGUGCCCUAUGGUUCGGAAUAACGCAGGGAAACUUGCGCUAAUACCGGAUAAGCCCUUACGGGGAAAGAUUUAUCGCCAUUGGAGCGGCCCGCGUUGGAUUAGCUAGUUGGUGGGGUAAAGCCUACCAAGGCAACGAUCCAUAGCUGGUUUGAGAGAACGACCAGCCACACUGGGACUGAGACACGGCCCAGACUCCUACGGGAGGCAGCAGUGGGGAAUCUUGGACAAUGGGGGAAACCCUGAUCCAGCCAUGCCGCGUGAGUGAUGAAGGCCCUAGGGUUGUAAAACUCUUUCGGCGGGACGAUAAUGACGGUACCCGCAGAAGAAGCUCCGGCUAACUUCGUGCCAGCAGCCGCGGUAAC